UCUUACGACUGACUCUGGACUAACAUGUGAGACCCUCCACCGGGAGACCCUCGUGAUGGAACAGUUUUCCCAUCUACCUGGUUCAGCUGGUUUGCUGGAAACUCAGUUUUAGCUGGCAUGAGCCCAGCCUCGGGCCUGUUUUCUGCAGUGGUUCUAAUCUCAUCUCGCAUGCAAGGAGUCACCCACAGAAAUCGUGGGCCAGGAAAACUCCCCGGGUUUUACGGCUGGAAAGUCUGUGUCACCAGAAGCAGCACGAGUGACGUUUCCCUUCUCAUUGCAUUUUGAAGAGGCAGGAAAGGGGUGCAGGGGCACUGAGAGUCCCUGUUAUUUGCAGUUUGCAAAGUGCUUUAACAUACAUUAUCUCAUUUAGAUGAUCUUCAGGAGGUAAAAGAAAGCCAGAGACCCCAUCUUGCUCCUGUGAAGUCAUCUGCUUUAGAGAAAGCAACGUGUGCUAAUGUGUUACAGGAAAAGUCUUUCCUGUCCGGCAAAAGACACCUCCUUUCAGCAAGAAGGAAGGCAGAUUUUCAAGAUGAGCUGGAUAUAGACUGUACCUCGUGUUACUGUGAGUGGUGGAAAGAUAAUAAAUGUAAAAUGCCCUGUGAUAAAGGGCUCUGUGUUACUCUGGCAGUGCUUUGGGGGCCAUUGACAUCAGAGGCACCUUUGUUAGGGAGCUGUACAAUAAAAACAAAAAGCGUGCCUUAACACUUUUUAUGGUGGAAUACCUGGUAGGAAUGAAAACUGGGGAUCUGGGUGAGCUGUAAACUAG
rnacentral:lncRNA from 1 species